AAUAAAAAAAAAAAACACACAAGUAGCUGCUACACACGCUCGUUAUAGUUGAGGCCAGAAUAAUAGAGCUGCACCAGGAAGGUCACUGCGCUGUAGACGCAAACUAUGACGGCCUUUUAACGCUUUCCUCUACUCGCGCUAAAUGCGAACUUUAUAAUUUCUUGUAAAAAAGCAAAACAAAAACUAAAAGAGAUUAUCUUCAUAAAUAACCAUACGUGCAGGCUGGCUGAACGAGUUCCUGUCCUGGGGUGCCUUCGCGCCCCUGAGCCGGCUGUCAUUCGGAGUCUACCUCGUGCACUCGCCGUAUUUCCUGCUCACUUUCCACAUCUCCAGGGAGCGCAUCUACUUCUCUCACUUCUUCAUCGUGACGCUCUUCUUCUCGGCCCUGGUGUGGUGCUUUUCGCUCAGCUACCUGCUGUUCAUCGCAUGCGAGGCUCCCGUCGGGCGGAUCGACAAGCUGGUCUUCGGUGCGCUCUCCCACAAAUCCCAUGCUACCAAAAUCGGGAGCGUGAAUUCGUCGGGCGGCGCGGAACGUGGCCGCGUCGGUCCGCAGAAAGGCGCCGACGUCGUCUGCUGCGAUUCCGGCAUGCCGCAAGGCGAAGCGUCGGAGAAGAGCAAGGUCCUCAUCAUCAUCAACGGGGACACCGUCUGUUACCACUUGUGAACGGCGAGGAGGGAAGCCCGCGCCUCGAACACCAAGUUGAGCUCAGAAAUGCCGAGAGAGUCGAAAACAUUUGUAGUCGGAAAGUAUAAGGCAAUAUAGAGAAACCGAAGGACGUCAGAUAGGUACUUGUCAAAAGGGGAGGGGGUGCGAGUAACUAGUCGUGUCUCUUUCCGGACCCAUACUGGGGCUGCUGUACGACUUUCCUUGCUCUAUAAAGUCCCAGAAACUCAAGCUCACAGGGACGCCCCUCUAGUAAGUAAUAAAGCGUCAGGCGUAAUAUGUAAGUACCAGGUGCCCUUCCAUAAGGCGCGACGACAGUUCACAGUCGCUUAGUGCCCUUCGAACUUUUUUUCUUGAAAGCGUUGGUGAAGGCUUGAAGAAAUCCCUUUGUUAUUUCCAAUUUCUUUAAACUUGCUCCGCACUUAAAAUUGAAGACUCUACUAGAGCUUGUUUGAGAGCCGUACGACAUCGCCGCGCAAGAAAACUGGCCUAAAUGCGUCCUCGUGCAUGCCGCCUUAUUUAUCUACAUUGUUCCUUCUUGUUCCUGGAUUUCAGAGUAGGCCGCCUUAUCGGCCUUCUCGUAUAUCCGUAUUUCUUGGAAAUACAUUUCCUAAUUUGACUAUUUCUGCAAAGACUUAUAAGUUGUCAUGUUUUUUACAAAUGCGAUUAAAAUAAACACACUUUGUUUCAGUA